rnacentral:rRNA from 1 species
AGAUUGAACGCUGGCGGCAUGCCUUACACAUGCAAGUCGAACGGUAGAGUAGCAAUACUCGAGAGUGGCGAACGGGUGAGUAAUAUAUCGGAACGUGCCCAGUCGUGGGGGGAUAACGUAGAGAAAUUUACGCUAAUACCGCAUACGAUCUAAGGAUGAAAGCGGGGGACUCGCAAGAGCCUCGCGCGAUUGGAGCGGCUGAUAUCAGAUUAGGUUGUUGGUGAGGUAAAAGCUCACCAAGCCGACGAUCUGUAGCUGGUUUGAGAGAACGACCAGCCACACUGGGACUGAGACACGGCCCAGACUCCUACGGGAGGCAGCAGUGGGGAAUUUGGACAAUGGGCGAAAGCCUGAUCCAGCAAUGCCGCGUGCAGGAAGAAGGCCUUGGUUGUAAACUGACUUUUGUACGGAACGAAAGGUCUAGCCCUAAGUACGGCGGCCCAUCGACGUACCGUAAGAAUAAGACACCGGCUAACGUACGUGCCAGCAGCCG